UACAGAGGUCUCAAGCGUUGUUCGGAUUCAUUGGGCGUAAAGGGCGCGUAGGCUGCGGGGCAAGUCGGGUGUGAAAUCUCAGAGCUCAACUCUGAAACUGCACUCGAUACUGCUUUGCUUGAGGACUGGAGAGGAGAUUGGAAUUCACGGUGUAGCAGUGAAAUGCGUAGAUAUCGUGAGGAAGACCAGUGGCGAAGGCGGAUCUCUGGGCAGUUCCUGACGCUGAGGCGCGAAGGCCAGGGGAGCAAACGGG
rnacentral:rRNA from 1 species